ACAAUUUCAACCUCACAGCACAACACGGAGCAAAAACCCUGCAUUUGUGUCUAAGUGUGAGCUUUCAAAGGUGUAAUGUCAGCUGCUGAUUGGUCAUUAACGUUGAUAAUGUUAGCAUGAUUACAUUUCCAGCUUAAGAGGGAAUUGCAGUUCAUGACUUUGGGGAUUGGAGCCGCUUGUACUGGGUAUUGCUUAUUCAUAUUCUCAAUCCUGGCAGCAGUGAGUUAUGCUUCAAGAGUUGGAUUUAGUUUCUUGUAUAUGUAACUGCUGUACCAGCAUGUGGACAACAUAUCACAGGAUUCAGUUCCACAAAUUUUCCAGCAUAAGAAAACAAAGAUUGUCAUACUAAUCAGAAUUGGAAUACGAAGUGAGGAUCUAAAAGAUUCACUAGAAAAAUCAGUCAAGGGAAGUGGGAUUGCUCUUUUGUCUCCAAGACUUGUAAUCCCUGCAGCAAUAUAUGGAAUAUGGGUCCUGCUUCACCAGAACUUUGCUACUGAUCUCUUUGAUUUCCAGAUUGUGCCUGCUAUGUUGGGAUUAUUUGCUUACAAAGCUGCUGCGCUCGUUUAAGUUUGUAGAGAUAAUGAAGACUUGUAAAUCAUCUUUCCAGAUACCGAGGAAAGCUCAGGUGUCUGAAAACUCAUGUCUUGCUUCAAACAUAGAACAUUUUACCUUCCCCAGUUCAGAAAACUAUUGUUAAUACUGAAACUGAAAUUUUGGUGCUGGAGGCUGGAGCACACUUUUUCUUGGAAAAAAUUCUAUAUAUGUAUGAGUUGGUUUGAUCUGUAUGUAUUGUAGGAUACUAGGAGGCAUAUGUAGUAUAGAGAUCCAACUUUCUGCCUUUGUAGGUACUAUAGCUGGUGAUAAUAUAUUUGUUAACCUUUUCGUCCGAGCUACGCCAUUAGCUUAGUUGUUUUAACAGCACCAUCCAGCACAAGAAGGGGAAAUCACAGUCAAGUUAUUUAUGUGCUUAUGAAAGAUUGUCAGGAGGCCGAUAUCUAGAAGAAAAAAAAAAAAAUGGGAAAAAGAAAUUAUCAAGAAUUGCUCUGAUUUCGGCAAUAAAAAUGUAAAAGCAAACUUCAUGUUUAAUCUACAAAUUAUAAUCACUUUCACUACAA